rnacentral:piRNA from 1 species
UACUAUUAAGGUGUUAUGGGAGUCUCCCUC